rnacentral:rRNA from 1 species
UGGGGAAUAUUGCACAAUGGGCGCAAGCCUGAUGCAGCCAUGCCGCGUGUAUGAAGAAGGCCUUCGGGUUGUAAAGUACUUUCAGUCGGGAGGAAGGUGGUAAGGUUAAUAACCUUAUCAAUUGACGUUACCGACAGAAGAAGCACCGGCUAACUCCGUGCCAGCAGCCGCGGUAAUACGGAGGGUGCAAGCGUUAAUCGGAAUUACUGGGCGUAAAGCGCACGCAGGCGGUUGAUUGAGUCAGAUGUGAAAUCCCCGGGCUUAACCCGGGAAGUGCAUCUGAUACUGGUCAGCUAGAGUCUUGUAGAGGGGGGUAGAAUUCCAUGUGUAGCGGUGAAAUGCGUAGAGAUCUGGAGGAAUACCGGUGGCGAAGGCGGCCCCCUGGACAAAGACUGACGCUCAGGUGCGAAAGCGUGGGGAGCAAACAGG